CGCUGGCGGCAGGCCUCAAACAUGCAAGUCNAGGGGGUGUAGCAAUACACCACCGGCGSACGGGUGCGUAACGCGUGGGAAUGUACCUAUUGGUUCGGAACAACUGAGGGAAACUUCAGCUAAUACCGAAUGUGUCCUUACGGAGAAAGAUUUAUCGCCAAUAGAUCAGCCCGCGUCCGAUUAGCUAGUUGGUGGGGUAAAAGCCUACCAAGGCGACGAUCGGUAGCUGUUCUGAGAGGAAGAUCAGCCACACUGGGACUGAGACACGGCCCAGACUCCUACGGGAGGCAGCAGUUGGGAAUCUUGGACAAUGGGGGAAACCCUGAUCCAGCCAUGCCGCGUGAGUGAUGAAGGCCUUCGGGUUGUAAAACUCUUUCGCGCACGACGAUAAUGACGGUAGUGCGAGAAGAAGCUCCGGCUAACUUCGUGCCAGCAGCCGCGGUAAUACGAAGGGGGCUAGCGUUGUUCGGAAUUACUGGGCGUAAAGCGCGCGCAGGCGGUCUUCCAAGUCAGUGGUGAAAGCCNGGAGCUCAACUCCGGAACUGCCAUUGAAACUGUUAGACUUGAGGAUGAGAGAGGUGAGUGGAAUUCCCAGUGUAGAGGUGAAAUUCGUAGAUA
rnacentral:rRNA from 1 species